AGUGAACGCUGGCGGUAGGCCUAACACAUGCAGGUCGAACGGCAGCACAGUAAGAGCUUGCUCUUACGGGUGGCGAGUGGCGGACGGGUGAGGAAUACAUCGGAAUCUACUUUUUCGUGGGGGAUAACGUAGGGAAACUUACGCUAAUACAGCAUAAGACCUACGGGUGAAAGCAGGGGAUAUUCGGACCUUGCGCGAUUGAAUGAGCCGAUGUCGGAUUAGCUAGUUGGCGGGGUAAAGGCCCACAAAGGCGACGAUCCGUAGCUGGUCUGAGAGCAUGAUCAGGCACACUGGAACUGAGACACGGUCCAGACUCCUACGGUAGGCAGCAGUGGGGAAUAUUGGACAAAGGGCGCAAGCCUGAUCCAGCCAUACCGCGUGAGUGAAGAAGGCCUUCGGGUUGUAAAGCCCUUUUGGUGGGAAAGAAAAGCAGCAGGUUAAUACCCCGCGGUUCUGACGGUACCCAAAGAGUAAGCAACGGCUAACUUCGUG
rnacentral:rRNA from 1 species